UUAAUAUUGAUAAUCAGCAUAUGCCUUUGUAUUUAGUGCAGUGACCUUGUUGAAAGUUUAUACUUUGCUCCAGCAUUCUCAAUAAUAGGGCGCUGCUGCUGCCGUCAGGCGGUCCGCAGGUGCUGCCAGUGUCCCCGGGGCCCCCUGGUGUCUGGUGCGGCUCGCCGACGACCCGGUGCGGGCCGCUAACGGGCGGAGUGCGCCGCGCCCGUCCGUCAUGACGGGGUACGCUGGUGCGUACUUGGGCACCGCAGGUGCUGCUGGUGUCGCCGGGGCCACCUGGUGUACGGUGGGGCUCGCCAACGUCCCGUUGUGGGCCGCUGACGGGCGGUGGGCGCCGCGCCCGUCCGUCCUGAUGGAGCGCGCUGGUGCAUCCAUGGGGACCGCAUAUCAAGCCAGCCUGUCCCGGUAUCUCUAAAAAAUCUCCAAGAACAUCUGCAUAGAGAGUCCGUUAAAAAUAUCAUGUAUUGUGUAUAUAAUAUAUAUAUAUAGUUUUUUUUAUAAAUGUCUACUUCUCAGA